UGGCCAAGGAUGAGAACUCUAACCUGAUUGGAUACACUGCUCUGAUGGGUUAAAGGAUUUACCUGAGGCCA